rnacentral:snoRNA from 1 species
UUAGCAAAUGAUGAUAAAAUAGACAGGGACAUCAGAACUUAAUGAUUGACUUAGUCUAAUGGGAAUCUCUCUGAUGCUAG